AGUUUACAUGUUUGCAAGUAUUGUAUUUAAUCACACACCAGGUUAUGCAUUUGUGUUUUAUUUAUUACAAGACUCAUACAGGUGCAACUCAUAUUUUACGUGUGCAAGUUAUACUUUACAUGCUUGUAUAAUUUUGUCAUUAAUUUACAUCCAUAGUUACAGCUUGAUUUUUAAAUUGACUCAAUUUAGAUUAAAAAAAAUAAAACUGGCCUACUCACAAAAGCCAAUAAUGUGAAAGUGGAAUUGGGUCAUUACACCAAACUGGUAGGAUUAAGUCUUUGACAUUUGGUGAUUUUUUACCCCCCCAAAAAUGUGUAACUAUUCUGAACACCCCACGACACAUAUUUAACCUAAAAAAAAAAAAAACAUAUUUUCCCAUCUUGGGCAUCAAAGCCCUAUUAUCAUAGGCCAUUCUGAUGUGGACACCAUUUGUCUUCAACCCUGUUGUGGACACAAUUGAAGUUGUCUGAUUAGGAUACGUAAUUCAAUUUUUAAAAAUCCAUAUUAAUCCUGUGUCCCUCAAACCAAUUAAAUUACUGCAAACAUAAAAUCUCAGCGGCCUCAAUUAAAAAAAAUCUAAAGUAUGGUUUCACUUCCGAAUUUGAACUAAAAUAAAUAUUCUCAUAAACACUUUAGACGGAGUUACACAAAACAUUAAAUUAAUAUUUCACAAACCUUCCAAAAUGUUAUCACAAAAUUGCCACGUUACUAGGGUAACGGGGAUAAUGAGAUGCAUACGGUUUACAUAUAAAUACAUAAAUACAUACAUAAUACAUAUAAGGACGGUAUUAAAUACAUCAAACUCGUGGUUUUGACAACAUUCCACUCGCUCCAGCCUUUAUUAUGAGCUGUGCUCCCCUCAGGAGCCUAUACAAAGAUUAUCGGGGCAAUUUACUGUGAAAAAUCAGAGCAAAAAUGUUGAUUGACAAGAAUAGAAUGACCUCCAGUGGAGUCACUAAUGGACCACUGUACGUAAUCUUAACAUUGACAGUAUUAGUCAACAUACGCAUGUGGUUAUAAGAAUGAAGAUAAACCAUUAUUAAUUUGAAUAAUUGGAUAGCUGUCAGUCUCAACUCUUAUUUAUUUGACCUUUAUUUAACUAGACGAGUUAAGAACACCUUAUUUUCAAUGACGGCCUAUGAACAGUGGGUUAACUGCCUUGUUCAGGUGCAGAGCGACAGAUUUUGUACCCUGUCAGCUUGGGGAUUCAAUCUUGCAACCUUUCGGUUACUAGUCCAAUGCUCUAACCAUGAGGCUACGCUGCCUCCCCCCUCUAACCACGAGGCUACGCUGCCGAUCAAACAAAAACAAGUAGUGUGACAGGGUUUAGUUUUUGGGCACAAAAUGGCCACCACGCCGGUGAAGAACUGGAGACCACAUGGCAUGCAAGAAAAAAAAAAAAAUUUAAAUAAAAAAUUAAAGUUUUAGUAAGUAGUAGGUAAUUUAAUGUAACAAGAGUUAACCCCAAUCUAACAAAAAUCUAUGAAAUAUAGAUAUAAAAGAUUGCUAACUUGCCUCGUCUUUACACCAUGUUGUUCAGAAGACUUGUAUGUUGCCAGAUGAGUACACUAUUUUUAUGGGGGGGGGUCGUUGGCACAACGUUUUAAGUAAAUUAAUCAUGCAUUUAUUUGGGGAAAAUACAUUCCCAGCAAAUGAGCACAUAUAGAUGUUAACAUUUAUGGCUUAUUUGCACAUUUGAGCCAAAGUACAAAUUCAGCGAAGGCCACGACAAACUGCUCGGUGUGGACUCACUGUGUGCAAUAAGUGUUCAAAAAAAAAAAGGUGUGACUUCCUAAUCUCUGUACCCCACACAUAAAAAUCUAUUCUCUUUUAAAAAGGUCCCUCAGUUGAGCAGUGAAUUUGAAAUACAGAUUUAACCACAAAGACCAGGGAGGUUUCUUGCCCUGAAUACAUUGAGUUUGGGGCAAAUCUAAUAGAACACAUUACUUAGUACCACACUCCACCAAUGCAAGCAGAGAGGGGGCUGCAUCAUGUGACAGGUAUUCUUGUAAUCAUUAGAGAUAACUAUUCCGUUUCUUGAUUUAAAACAAGCAAAAUCCAAGCGGAAAACUGGUUUACACCAGACACUGGGUGAUGAAUUCACCUUUCAGCAGGACAAUGACUUAAAACUACACUAGGAGUUGCUUUCCAAGACAGUGGAAGGUCCUGAGUGGCCGAGUUCAUUUAUUUAAAUCAGCUUGAACAUCUAUGCUAAAACAUGAAAAUGUGUGCAUAGAAAUGGACAGCGGUCUAAGGCACUGAAUCUCAGGGCUAGAGGCGUCCCUACAGACCCGGGUCUCUAUCACAACCGGUCAUGAUUUAGAGUCCCAUAGAGGUUGGCGCACAAUUGGCUCGGUGUCGUGAAGACUUUCGCCAGGGUAGGCCAUCAUUGUAAAUAAGAAUUUGUUCCUUAACUGUCCUAGUUGUGCAAAUAUUGUAAAAAAAAAAACAUGUGCACAAAGCUUACUCACCCUGAAAGACAGCUGUACUCACUGCCAACAGUGAUUCUAACAUGCAUUGACACAAGGGUGUAAAAUGCAGUAUUGAUACAAGCAAUUCAUUUCAGUUUCAAUAAAUGUGCAAAAAAAAAAACUAUUACCUUUGUCGUUACGGGGUAUCCUUUGUAGAUGGGAGUAAAAAAAGAUCAAUGUAAUCUUAUUUGAUGUCAGGCUUUAACGCAACACGAAUAAGUCAAGGGGUAUGAAUAGUUUCUGAAGGCACCGUUAAUCCUGCUUUAUUUAACACACCUCACUGCUGGAGCAAGUUACAUAAAGUGGAUGAUCAAUUUCAAGUGUGGAUUAAGGACCCGAGUUUACCUUAAAUUGUGUUGUAUUUUUUUAAACAUUUGAUGACUGUGAUCACGGCACGAGACCCUGGGCUCAAUGGGUUCUCUCUAAAUACCAAAAAUAAUUAGCUGGCUUCAGAUAAUGGCUUGUCGUCAUUAGGCAACUUACUCAUGUCACACUAUUUAAAAAAAAAAACCACUUCAGAAAGUUCCAUCACAGGAAAAAAGUAAUGUACACAAUCGUUGGAUGCGCCAGAGUAUUUUGAAAGGAAAGGUCAAGACUUUAAAUCACCACUUCAGUUUAUUCAAUUAUCACAUUUGUGAAAACCUUAGUUUCAAACAGCAAGAUUUAGUCAAUGCACUACAAAUAGCAACAGUAAUAUAAAUGUACCUUUUUCCUCCUGGGAGUUUCCUUUGCUGCGGGCCUUCCCCAUCUUCAACUCCUGUCCCAUGAACUUCUUGCCGUUCAGCUCCAAGGCCGUCUGCAUGUCCUCCGUCCUUCUACGUAGCCAAACUUCCUGGUGCGCAAGAUAAGCGUGCAUUAGAAGACUGCAUAUAAAACACAAAUCAAUUAAGCUUCAUUGACUUUAAGUGUGCCAGCGAUUGAGGAUAGGACCAGCAGACGAUAACACACACUGGUACCGAAGACAUAGCACUGGCUUUGUUCUACCUCCGUACAAUCACACGUGAGUACUGAGCAACUACAGGUGUGCCAAGAAAUGGAGGGAAUGCCCGUUCUCCCGUAGAUGUGCCAACACCAAAAGGUGGAGGCAGGGGCUAAUGUCGUG
ensembl:lncRNA